GACGAACGCUGGCGGCAUGCCUAACACAUGCAAGUCGAACGAUACCUUCCGGUCUUGUGGCGCACGGCUACGGAACACGUGGGAAUCUACCCUCAGGUUCGGAAUACCUCAGUUAAAUUUAAGCUAAUACCGGUUGGUGUCGUACGGCCUAAGAUUUAUCGCCUGAGGAUGAGCCCGCUUAGGAUUAGGUAGUUGGUGAGGUAAAGGCUCACCAAGCCGACGAUCCUUAGCUGGUCUGAGCGGAUGAUCAGCCACGCUGGGACUGAGACACGGCCCAGACUCGGACGGGAGGGAGCGGUGGGGAAUAUUAGACAAUGGGCGAAAGCCUGAUCAAGCAAUGUCGGGGGAGUGAUGAAGGCCGUAGGGUUGUAAAGCCCUUUUACCCGGGAGGAUAAUGACAGUACCGGGAGAAUAAGCACCGGCUAACUACGUG
rnacentral:rRNA from 1 species